ensembl:lncRNA
CCCCCUCCAUAAGGCCCUGCAUGGUAUUCACAUCCUCCUCAUCCCAACCCCCUCCAUUAGGCCCUGCAUGGUAUUCAGAUCCUCCUCAUCCCAACCCCCUCCAUAAGGCCCUGCAUGUUAUUCAGAUCCUCCUCAUCCCAACCCCCUCCAUAAGGCCCUGCAUGGUAUUCAGAUCCUCCUCAUCCCAACCCCCUCCAUAAGGCCCUGCAUGUUAUUCACAUCCUCCUCAUCCCAACCCCCUCCAUAGGUCCCUGCAUGGUAUUCACAUCCUCCUCAUCCCAACCCCCUCCAUAGGUCCCUGCAUGGUAUUCAGAUCCUCCUCAUCCCAACCCCCUCCAUAAGGCCCUGCAUGGUAUUCAGAUCCUCCUCAUCCCAACCCCCUCCAUAAGGCCCUGCAUGUUAUUCAGAUCCUCCUCAUCCCAACCCCCUCCAUAAGGCCCUGCAUGGUAUUCAGAUCCUCCUCAUCCCAACCCCUCCAUAAGGCCCUGCAUGGUAUUCAGAUCCUCCUCAUCCCAACCCCCUCCAUAAGGCCCUGCAUGUUAUUCAGAUCUUCCUCAUCCCAACCCCCUCCAUAAGGCCCUGCAUGGUAUUCAGAUCCUCCUCAUCCCAACCCCCUCCAUAAGGCCCUGCAUGUUAUUCAGAUCCUCCUCAUCCCAACCCCCUCCAUAAGGCCCUGCAUGGUAUUCAGAUCCUCCUCAUCCCAACCCCCUCCAUAAGGCCCUGC